rnacentral:sRNA from 1 species
GGCCAUUUCAUCACCCAGUUAAUAAGAAAUUUGUUCCAGAUUAUUACAAAGUGAUUGUCAAUCCAAUGGAUUUAGAGAGCAUACGUAAGAACAUCUCCAAGCACAAGUAUCAGAGUCGGGAGAGCUUUCUAGAUGAUGUAAACCUUAUUCUGGCCAACAGUGUUAAGUAUAAUGGACCUGAGAGUCAGUAUACUAAGACUGCCCAGGAGAUUGUGAACGUCUGUUACCAGACAUUGACUGAGUAUGAUGAACAUUUGACUCAACUUGAGAAGGAUAUUUGUACUGCUAAAGAAGCAGCUUUGGAGGAAGCAGAAUUAGAAAGCCUGGACCCAAUGACCCCAGGGCCCUACACGCCUCAGCCUCCUGAUUUGUAUGAUACCAACACAUCCCUCAGUAUGUCUCGAGAUGCCUCUGUAUUUCAAGAUGAGAGCAAUAUGUCUGUCUUGGAUAUUCCCACUGCCACUCCAGAAAAGCAGGUAACACAGGAAGGUGAAGAUGGAGAUGGUGAUCUUGCAGAUGAAGAGGAAGGAACUGUACAACAGCCUCAAGCCAGUGUCCUGUAUGAGGAUUUGCUUAUGUCUGAAGGAGAAGAUGAUGAGGAAGAUGCUGGGAGUGAUGAAGAAGGAGACAAUCCUUUCUCUGCUAUCCAGCUGAGUGAAAGUGGAAGUGACUCUGAUGUGGGAUCUGGUGGAAUAAGACCCAAACAACCCCGCAUGCUUCAGGAGAACACAAGGAUGGACAUGGAAAAUGAAGAAAGCAUGAUGUCCUAUGAGGGAGACGGUGGGGAGGCUUCCCAUGGUUUGGAGGAUAGCAACAUCAGUUAUGGGAGCUAUGAGGAGCCUGAUCCCAAGUCGAACACCCAAGACACAAGCUUCAGCAGCAUCGGUGGGUAUGAGGUAUCAGAGGAGGAAGAAGAUGAGGAGGAGGAAGAGCAGCGCUCUGGGCCGAGCGUACUAAGCCAGGUCCACCUGUCAGAGGACGAGGAGGACAGUGAGGAUUUCCACUCCAUUGCUGGGGACAGUGACUUGGACUCUGAUGAAUGAGGCUUCCUUUGGGCCUCCUUGGUCAGCCUUCCCUGUUCUCCAGCCUAGGUGGUUCACCUUUCCCCAAUUUGUUCAUAUCUGUACAGUAUCUGAUCCUGAAAUCGUGAAAUUAACUAACACCUUAGCCUUUUUAAAAGUAGUAAGUAAAUGAUAAUAAAUCACCUCUCCUAAUCUUCCUGGGGCAAUGUCACCCUUUGAUUUAAAACAAAGCAACCCCCUUUCCCCUACCACUACGGAAAAGAGCAAGCUCAUUUUUCCGUGUCCUCC